UCCUAAAUCCAAAUGCCAGUAUGUGUUCAGUACGCGACCUGUGAAGAUAUAACAAACAUAGAGAGUUUCAUAACAUAGCGGAACAAUAUUGCUGCCGGCAUUGAACGCGGCAGGCGCAAAGGAAAUAUCAUUAACUCUGAAAGCCUUUGGAAAACAGAUUCAGUUAAACCUGCGUAGAAACGACGACAGAUUGUAUCGUCUGCGUUUAAAGUAUGGAAACAUAACGCAAAAGGUAUCACGAAAGAACUGUCAAAAUUAAACGCAAUGGAUUUUUGCUAUUAUCUUCACGAAUAUCAUAUAAGCAUCGCGGUCAUGAACUUCUGUCAGGAACAUGGAUUGA